CCUACGGGUGGCAGCAGUAGGGAAUCUUCCACAAUGGGCGAAAGCCUGAUGGAGCAACGCCGCGUGGGUGAAGAAGGUCUUCGGAUCGUAAAACCCUGUUGUGAGAGAAGAAAGUGCGUGAGAGUAACUGUUCACGUUUCGACGGUAUCUAACCAGAAAGCCACGGCUAACUACGUGCCAGCAGCCGCGGUAAUACGUAGGUGGCAAGCGUUAUCCGGAUUUAUUGGGCGUAAAGGGAACGCAGGCGGUCUUGUAAGUCUGAUGUGAAAGCCUUCGGCUUAACCGGAGUAGUGCAUUGGAAACUGGGCGACUUGAGUGCGGGAGAGGGGAGUGGAACUCCAGGUGUAGGGGUGAAAUGCGUAGAUAUAUGGAGGAACACCAGUGGCGAAGGCGACUACCUGGACUGUAACUGACGCUGAGGUUCGAAAGCGUGGGGAGCAAACAGGAUUAGAUACCCUUGUAGUC
rnacentral:rRNA from 1 species